CUGAGUUGAAAAGGACCACAGUGCUCAUCCAGUUCCAACCCCCUGCUAUGUGCAGGGUCGCCAACCAGCAGCCCAGGCUGCCCAGAGCCACAUCCAGCCUGGCCUUGAAUGCCUGCAGGGAUGGGGCAUCCACAGCCUCCUUGGGCAACCUGUUCCAUUUUUCACCCGGGGGGUGGUGACGCACUGAACAGGUUGCCCAAGGAGGCUGUGGAUGCCCCAUCCCUGCAGGCAUUGAAGGCCAGGCUGGAUGUGGCUCUGGGCAGCCUGGUCUGCUGGUUGGCGACCCUGCACAUAGCAGGGGGUUGGAACUGAUGAGCACUGUGGGCCUUUUCAACUCAGGCCGUUCUCUGAUUCUAUGAAACUCACUGAUGGCAGAACCUGUCUACCCACGCACACCAUCUGGGGACAUUAAAACUGGCCUUCUGUACAGCUUGUAGAGCUGUCUUUGUUUCAUCAAUCUCUUUAACACGCUGGGACACCUCGGAGGUGGGACUGGAGGCUGACAGCAGGGCUGGCUUGCAGGUAGUGAGGUGCUGCCUUUGAUCACUCAGCACAUUAAGUUAUCCCGGUCUUCUGAGCUUCUCAUGAUCAUUCCUUGUGAUGAAUCAGGAGAAUAAAAUGAAGGCAGAACAAAACCUGGAAGAUAAUUGACAUUGAUUCAAGGUGGCUGAGCCUCAGAUCCAUGUCCCGAGGAGCCCACACGUUGCACUGCAGCCCUCUUGGCACUGCUGGAGUCAUUUCAGGUCCCUGCUUUCCCAUUCCCUGAGGUUGCAGUUUGUCCCCUCUGUCUAAUUGCUUACAAAUAUUUCCUUUCUCUGUUUUAAUUUUUUUCUCAGGGUCUGCUUUCUGGUGCUCCGAUCCCCAUUGGGUUCAGCCUCCAAUGCAAAAUCCCCUUGUCUGUGUCUCUUUAUAGCUCAUGAACUCCCUAUCAUUAAAAAAAAACGGAUGCGAACAUUCCAUAUCAGUGAGAUAUUUUUUUCCCACUAUUGCCCGUGCCUGUGAUUUCCUG
ensembl:lncRNA